rnacentral:rRNA from 1 species
GCUUACGGCCAUACCACCCUGAAUGCGCCCGAUCUCGUCUGAUCUCGGAAGCUAAGCAGGGUCAGGCCUGGUUAGUACUUGGAUGGGAGACCGCCUAGGAAUACCAGGUGCUGUAAGCU